rnacentral:lncRNA from 1 species
UUCAACUAUCAAAUAAGGAGCUGGUAGACAGAUAAGCUGACAGCAGGUCUCCACCACUGCCGUCGAUCACUGCUGUGUUCACCUUGCCCUCGGGAUGGUGCUGGGGAGACACAGAAGUCCCCCUAGUACUUCUUCAGGACGGCAUGUUUCUCAUUCCCUCAUCAUAAUGAAAAGAAGAUGGAUUUCUCAACCACUUCCUCCGGGAGGAGGUAAAUCUGGCAUGUCCUUGGGUUUCUCUGCAAGCUGGUAGCCACGAGAACACUGCUGGUUAACAAGAGUCGUCAGGACUGGGUGCCUUUCUCAGUUAAAUUUCAGGUCCAUGUAGGACUCUGCACAAAUUGAUGCUAUCCUGUUGUAGGAAAUGGUACUUGAAGCAAGAAAUUGUCAAAACCAUGUGACAAAUUAAGUCCCUCUAUUUCAAAGAAUCCAAAAUUGCUUUAUACGGACU